AGAAAUUUAGGUUAAUAACAGACCAAAAGCCUUCAAAGCUUUAAGUAGAAGUGAAAAUCCUCUAAUUUCUG
rnacentral:tRNA from 4 species